UACGUAGGGGGCAAGCGUUGUCCGGAUUUAUUGGGCGUAAAGAGCGUGUAGGCGGCCUGACAGGUCUGCUGUGAAAACUCGAGGCUCAACCUCGAGAUGUCGGCGGAAACCGUCUGGCUAGAGUCCGGAAGAGGAGAGUGGAAUUCCUGGUGUAGCGGUGAAAUGCGCAGAUAUCAGGAGGAACACCGAUUGCGAAGGCAGCUCGCUGGGA
rnacentral:rRNA from 1 species